AUGUCUAUACUUAAUUUAUUCCAUCACUUUUCUAUUGACAUUCGUUUAGGUGGUUUGCGGUUUUUCAUGUGGCAGCUUCAGGGGCAGAAAUCUUCUGGCUGGAACGUGGGGCCUGGUGGUCUUGGGGCCAUGGUCCUGCUUAAGGAGUCUGCCAGCCAGUGGCCGAGCCUGAGGACUUGGAGAUGCUGCAUCUGGCAACAAGGCGCCACCACCGGGGGAGACAGGGCCCAGGAACUGAAUGCUAGAGAGAGGGAGGCUCCAGUCCGUCCGCAGAGGACGAGGCCGUGGGUUCGAGAAAUCCUCGUAGUGCUUCCUAGAGUUAACGCGGGCCCAGAAGCAUUACCAGUUCCAAGAUAUUUUGCAAAUAUUCUGGAACACAUUAGCAGAGGAAGGAGUAACUUUUGGGAGUGUUAUAAACAGGUGUGGCAGAGACCGCAGCGCUCACAAUAUUUGACACCUGUGCUCCUCUCGUCCUCCUGGGCAACCACUGGACCACACCCCCAGCCUCCCUACAGUCAGAUGGAGCCACUGACUGGGUUCCGGCCAAAGAAAUGGGAGCAGACAUAA
rnacentral:lncRNA from 1 species